CUCAAUCAAAUGGUCUUCUGAGUCCCAGCAAAAAUCUCCUUCGACCUAUGACAUCAGCAUGGGUGCAGGUGGACGUGUGGCAGUAACCAGUCAACUUCUUGUCCCUCAAAAAGAGUGGAAAACGGGGAAAAGCUUCACCUGUGAAGUCUCUGACAGAAUUCUGAAGAAAGAUGUUCAACAGGAGAUCAGCCUUUGUUCAGUUACUCCCACAUCAUCUCAAUCAGUUGGGGUCUAUAUUCAGGGACCACCACUCCAAGAAUCAGAAACACGGGACAAGUGACUGUCACCUGCCUUUUGGUUGGCCCUCUUCUAAAAGAUAUUUCCAUCUACUGGAAAGUAGAUGGAAACACAUAUACCCAUCGUGCCCAUAUAGAGCCACCAGUGAGUCUCGGCAACGGUACAGAAACUUUGCGGAGCUUCCUUAACGUGUCAGCAGAGGACUGGAACUCUUAUAAAAACGUGUCAUGUGAGGGGAAGCAUCCAUGUUCCAAGCAGAGCUACAAGGACCAUAUAAAGAAAUGCAAUGACACCAGUCCACCAACAGUGAAGAUUAUACAACAAGUGCCUCUCAGGCUUCCACAUCACACUUCCUCGCACUUACUUGCCUGGUGUCAGAAUUUUUCCCAUCCAACAUAAUAGUGUACUGGAAAAAGAUGGCCAGAGACUCCCUUCAACUGGUUACACUAACAGUCCUGCAUGGAAGUACACCGGGAGCAGCACUUAUUCAAUGAGCAGCAGACUAAAUAUAACCAAAACUGUGCACGAGGAGUCCACAUAUUCUUGCGUUGUCAGACAUGAGUCAUCCGAAAUGCCCUUGAAAGCAGUAUAAAGGAUGUGUUUGACGUAUUGAAGAGCUGUGAUUUUUUGGAUAAUAUUAUGUAUGCUGAAAGGAUCCAAGACAAAGAUGAGGAAGGCUGGUUUAUGGCUUUCACAUUUCUCGUUUUUUUCCUCAUCUCUAUCGUCUAUGGUGUCCUUGCAACCCUGUUUAAGACUAAAUGAUGGCGA